UACGUAGGGUGCAAGCGUUGUCCGGAAUUAUUGGGCGUAAAGAGCUCGUAGGCGGUCUGUCGCGUCUGCUGUGAAAUCUCAGGGCUUAACCCUGAGCUUGCAGUGGGUACGGGCAGACUAGAGUGCGGUAGGGGAGACUGGAAUUCCUGGUGUAGCGGUGAAAUGCGCAGAUAUCAGGAGGAACACCGGUGGCGAAGGCGGAUCUCUGGGCCUUGCCUGACGCUGAGGCGCGAAAGCUAGGGGAGCGAACAGG
rnacentral:rRNA from 1 species